UUGGAAAAAAAAGGCUUUGAUUUUGCCACCCCAUUUGAUUUCUUUGCCACCCUCAUGCCACCCUAAGAAAAUUUCUCUAGAUCCGCCCCUGUCUGUAAGGCAGGGUUAGGAGAGAUGUGCUCACAUGUUAGUGCCAUACUCAACACAAUUCUGGCAGUUAUAAAUAAACUUUGAUUAGUACAUCUGAUAGCACAGCAACUAUCUGGGAUUAAACUCAAAGAUGUUGAGUUGAUGGGUGGAUGGCUGUGGACCAAAGCACUGUUUUUGCUCUCCAGAUGGACCAGAACGUCAGACAUGAAAUCUAUGGAUAUUUUCUUCAUUGAGAUGAUGAUUGUGUAUUUUUUUUCAGUGAACACCAAGAUAAAAAUAUUUGCUGCCAUUUUAAAUUUCCAAAUUUUCCAAAUGUCAUGAAUAUUGUGAAGAGCCAUGCAGUCUGUGCUGUCUGAUAAGUUUCUGAAUUUAUCUUAUUGGCUCCCAACUUUUUUAAGGGUGGUUUAUAAAACAUCAGAAUUGUACUUUGAUGUGAGAAAUGUAGGGUAAAAACUGUGUGGUAAACACAGCUCUUAGUUGUUCACCUCUUUAUUUUGUCACAUUCAUAGCAUUUUUUACCCGAGCCUUGCAACCUUCAAAAAAUAAAAAACGAAAGCCAAAACAAUGCAGAAAUGUCGGGGAGUUAACAACUAUUCAGUGUGAAAAGGCAUUAUUAAUCCAUUGUGGCAGUAAUUGUGAGACACAGGUGGAUUUCUUAUAUAUGUCUGCACACACUGUGGUAAAAUGUGGUUUCUGCUUUCACUGCGUUCUUACUUUACCCUAUUAGACACGCAGAGGAUAUAUUUCACAUAUGGAAAAACAUGAUUUAACUGUUUUUAAAAAGUCAAAUAGUUUACACUAUUUCGAUUUUGAAAAUAUAUUUUUUCAUUGUUUUUACUACAGACUGCAUAUGGGCAUAGUCCCCCAUUAGGUUUUUAACUCUGCGUACUGAAGAUUCAGCAUUAAUGUUUUGGGGCCUGCCAUGUUAGCUGUUAGUUUUGUUUUUGGAGAGGAGGUGAUAAUAUUAGGGAGAAUGAAGACUCAAGUUAUCAAGUUAGCUAGUUAUACUAGCUAGCAAGGAUCAGUAGCAGGUGGCAUUUAUAAAGUGUAAAGUUGCACCUCAGAUACAUUUGCUAGUUUGUGUAAAGUAACAAGCUAGUAAAGUAAUAGAAUUUUACUCACUAAAACAGAAGCACAGACUUUAGGCAAUUUGUAUCACAGUGGAAGCUAAAUUAUAGGUUGCUUGAUGCUUAAGCAAUUAAAUCUGUUACUUCAAAUCCUAACUGCUGCCUUUCUGUAGAGAGCUUACAUGUUCCCAAUUGGGAGCCUGACUUCCUGCCAUAGUCCAAACACCUUCAUAUUAGACUAUAUUAGCUAUGGAUGGUAAAUGGUAACUGGACUGAAUCUUAUAUAGCGCCUUUCUACUCUCCCAGAGCACUCAAGAGCUUUAUAAAACAUACCACAUUCACCCAUUCACACAAGCACUUUCUUCUUUGCUUGUGUGUUUUCUAUGUUACAUUCACAUGCAUCCAUACUCCAGUAGACACACUGGAGAGCAACUUUGGCACACAGACUGGGGGAGCCAGGGAUCAAAUCACCAACCUUCUGAUCAAUAGAUGACCUCCUCUACAUCGUACCUCCAGCUACCACAGAUCAUCGAAGAGUUCAGACACAUCACCAGUUUCGUUGGUGGAGACAUUCAUGCUGAAACUUGAUGAGUACACACCAGGUCUUUUGCAGCUUAUGCCCACCAAAGGAGGAGCCGCUGGUUCCAAGAUAAGACCUCUGCUGGACACUUUGAAUGACACACAAAGCAUUUAGAAGAAAAGGCACCUCCUUAUCUGCUGCCUCAUUAGCUGCCUCGGGGAAAGACAAGAAGAUCUUUUUCAUGACUGCCAGGAAUGUGAGGAUUACACAGACAAUAAGAUGAAGGUGAUCGUGAUCCACAACAUCAUGGCUGAGGAGGAUCCAUCAGAUGUGUCCAUUGUGAUUGAGGGAAACCAAGUGAUGGAGGGAUGUGGAAGCCGAACAAAGGCAUGUGUACUGCUGAUGGGACUGAUAUAUGCCCUCAACCUCGAAUAUCCGAAGGAGCUGAAGAACUUUUCAAAAACUUUUUUUGGAACUUGACGGGGCCAAACUACUGAAAAAGGUCCCCGGCCUCAAAAAUAAGCUUGUGCAAUGCACACACAUUUCCCCUCUUGUUCCCAGAGGAUCUUUUGUCCAGACAUAGCUUGAGAUAUAUAUAUUAGGGGUGCAACGAUACACAAAAUU